AUUGAACGCUGGCGGAAUGCUUUACACAUGCAAGUCGAACGGCAGCACGGACUUCGGUCUGGUGGCGAGUGGCGAACGGGUGAGUAAUAUAUCGGAACGUGCCCAGUCGUGGGGGAUAACGUAGUGAAAAUUACGCUAAUACCGCAUACGAUCUACGGAUGAAAGCGGGGGAUCGCAAGACCUCGCGCGAUUGGAGCGGCCGAUAUCAGAUUAGGUAGUUGGUGGGGUAAAGGCUCACCAAGCCAACGAUCUGUAGCUGGUCUGAGAGGACGAACAGCCACACUGGGACUGGGACACGGCCCAGACUCCUACGGGAGGCAGCAGUGGGGAAUUUUGGACAAUGGGCGCAAGCCUGAUCCAGCAAUGCCGCGUGCAGGAAGAAGGCCUUCGGGUUGUAAACUGCUUUUGUACGGAACGAAAAGGCUCUGGAUAAUACCUGGGGCUCAUGACGGUACCGUAAGAAUAAGCACCGGCUAACUACGUGCCGGCCGCCGCUGUAAUAC
rnacentral:rRNA from 1 species